rnacentral:tRNA from 1 species
GUUGUUGCUCAGUGGUUAGAGCACUUGCCUAGUAUGUGUGAGGCCCUGGGUUUGAUCCUCAGCAUCACA